rnacentral:lncRNA from 1 species
CAUCAAUCAGUCCAGGCAUCAAUUAAUCAAUUCAGUGGAUUAUUAAUACAACUUCCAACAGCUCAAGCUACUGUGUUAAGUCCUGAAUCCCAGGGGUAAGCCAGCUACCAUACUGUGAAAACACUCAAGCAGCAUCACUGAAGGACCUGCAUGGAGAGAAAUUGAGGUCUCCACUCAACUAGCAAGUACCAUAUUCCCAGCCAUGCAUAUGAGUUACAUUGGAAGUGAAUCAGCAGCUCCCUUCCAGCCUUCAGAUGACUAUAGCAGCAGUUGACAUUAAACAACAAUCUCACAAGACACACCCAGCUGUCACAUAUAUGAGAUGGAGGCAAUAAUACCAAUCCUACCUCCUAUCAGGGUGAGUGAAUGGCUUAAGUGAGAGGGCAGAUGAUAAACUUCUGGGAGCAGCUCUGAUACAGAAGAGAAAGCAUGGAUCUAAGUAAUGGUACUCUUCCUAAAUUUGAGGUCUGAUUCCACUUUUUACAAGAGCUCUAAUUCAUUGUGAAUUUCAACGAGAGUUUUCUUGGCACAGAAAAGAAGCACCUGCUGAUUUUCUGCUUUAUCAAGAAACACCUGCUGCUUUAUCAAGAGUGAGUAGAGAUCUAGCCUUCCCACUGGACUUUGCCCUGUAAGUCCUUCUGGAGUGGUACAGAAAAGCUUCAGAAGCUUUUUCCAAGAGGAAUCUUGUGCGACUCUGGCUAUAAACAAUGCUCCUCUGGACCCAGGUACCAAUGGGAAACACACAGUAGGAGACAUAAUUUAUCUUCCCAUUUGUGCUCCAACACCCUGAGGAAGGACUGCACCUACAGUUUUGCAGUUAUAGCAGCCUGAGCAUUGUGCUAGAGAAAGACAUGUUCUUCCCAGAGCGACAGUGGUAGCUGGCCCAGCAGAGCACCAGUGGAGACAGCAAAGACACGGUGCAGCCUGGUAAAAGAACAUUGGCUUGAAGCAUGUCCAUCCUCAACACUGAGACAUAUUGAACCCGUAAGAAUGCUUAAGGAGAAAUUCUCAGGGACACCAGUUCCUACACUUAUGAUGGUGAGAGGUAAAGAAAAAUGUGAAAUUUGGGUGCAAAUGCUAAUAUUAGUGUAUCUGUGCCUUAGAGUGGUGGUCUUUGGGAUUCUUCAGGCUCUUUAUUUAGUAGCUUUAAUGCUAGCUUGAAUUUCCUACUCUUACUUUUUUGACCUCAUUUUUUUUACAUUAAAACAUUUAAUAUUGUGACAUUAUUAUACACUUUUUUCUUAAGCGAAAUUAAAUAUUUUCUUAGAAUAAGAUAGUACUAAAUAAAUGAUUAAGUGAUUGAUAUUUUACAGUAGAAGCUCAAAUGAGCAAUAAACAUGUAAUGCAAAAGAAGUUUGUGGUAGACCAAGUGAUAACCACCCAAAGAUGUCCACUUCCUGCUUGCCUGUAUCUAUGAAUAUGUUAUCUUACAUGGCAAAAGGGACCCUACAGAUGUGAUUAAGUUAAGGAUCAUAAAAUGGAAGAUUAUCCUGGAUUUAUUGGGUAGGACCAAUAUAAUCACAAUGGUGCUUAUAAGACAGAAGGUGGAAACAAAUGAGUCAUGGAAGGAGAUAUGACGAUGGAAGCAGAAAUCAGAGAAAUGCAGCCACUAGCCAAGAGAUGCAGGCAGGCCCUAGACAUUGGAAGAGGCAUUGAACAGAUUCUCUCCUAAUAGCCUCUAAAAAGAAUGCAACUCUGCAGAACCUCUGAUGAUUUUCGUGCUGUAAGAGCUAUUCUGAACUUCUGAUUUCCAGAACUGUUAAAACCUUAAAUGUACAUUAUUAUAUAAUAGUACAUUUGUGGAAAUUUGUUACAGCAUCAGCAGGAGUAUAGUACAAGACUUUAAUGAGAUACACUUUACUCCUAUCAAAUUGCUUUUUUUUCCCCCUAGGUAACACUAAAUGUUUAGUAAAGUUUAGUAAAAAUAGAACUAAUAUCCACCACUGAUAAAGUAUAAGCUGAAAUAUUUUCAGAAAGUAAGCAGCAUAGACAAAGGUCUAAAUCCUUAAAGUAAUUUUAAUACUUUGACCAGGUAACUAAAUUUCAGGAAUUUAAGAUGAGAAAAUAAUUAGAUAUGUGUAUAAAUACCUUUACACAGUGCUGUGCAUUCAAACAUUACAUAUGCUGAAACUAGAUUCACUUAAAUGGUUUGGAUAAACUUUACUGUAUCCAUGCAAAGAAAUAUAUUACACAGUUGUCAACUGCAUUAAAUGCCAAAGUAAAGAGUCAGACACCUAAGUUAUUGUAUAUUAUAGCUCUAAUGUUAUAAAAUAUAACUAUAAAUCAAUAUUUGUGAAAGAAAAAUAUUAAUAUGAAAUAUACUAAUAUAACUCAUUUUUGAAUGAGAUGUGUGAUGUGUCUUUUUGCCUUUACAUCGUCCUGAUAUUUUUUCAUUUUUUCAUGAAGGGUUAGUACAUUACUUCCAUAAUCAUAAAAAGUAAAUAUGAAAUGUAUAUUUAACAUGUUAUUAUGAGGAAACUCAAUAAAUAAAGCAUAUCAUCACUGUUAUGCUGGAAACGAAUGCUGUAAGCCCAGAAUCCUCACAGUAAGAUAGCAUCAUUCUGUUAACUGAUAGUUGGAAAGCUAUUGGCUGGUAUGUCUGUCAAUUCAAUUGUUAAUCUGUAUUCUGUAUAUUUUUUAAUAUUAAAAAUCAUUUUAAAAUGUAAACUCCAUUAUUGUUAUAAUUUUAAAAAUUAACUAAGGUGCCAGGAGUUGUGAAUCAUCACCACAGGGUUAACAAUAAGAAGUUAUAUGACUUUCAACUCUUUCCUUUAACCUUCUGGAAUACAAUUUUCUCACCUAAAAAACAAAGAUGUUUCAUUAGAUGAUUAGUCGAUUAAUUUAUGGUUUUCCAAUUGUGACUCUUGUAAGGAUCUAAAAUAUUUAUGCCGCACACCUCUUCUGAGAAGAAACUGUCGUUGCUCCAAUAUUCCUGCCUACAUCUAACAAUAUUCCCCGUAAAUUACUCUGUAAUCCUUUUUCACUCCUUACAUGCCUUCAUGUCUCUUCUAGUAGAUUAGAUAACGAUGUAUGUUCCACUCUGAGCAGGUAUAUUCAGACCUACCUAUAAAGGUCAAGGGAGCUGAGAGGCCAAAGAAAGGGACUGACAAAUCCAGUUUCUCAGAAAGAAACUGUCAGGCCUCUGAGCCCAAGCCAACCAUCCCAGC